UGGAGGAGGUGCCCAGCUGAUGUGAAGGAAGAGGAGGCGUAAAUCUGGAGAGAUUGAGAAAGGCGUGCGGGGCAGAGGGCAAGGCCUGUGGGGAAGGAAUCCCGAUGUGGCCACCGUGGCUGGCUGCCUGUUCCCCUUCCUCCAUCGCUGCAGAGACUGGGAUUUGUUCUGGCGUCUACCCCUCCGGUCACUAAGUUACUGUUUUACUCAGGUAAAUCCUGAUGAGUCUAAGCUGAUCUCAGUGGUCCUCAGCCCCUUGCCAGUAGUUGGGUACGGCCAGGCCGUGUGGUCCAGCUCUGACGAUGAGGAGGGAAGGAACUUCAGAAGAACUUCUGAGAAGGACCAAGUCAAUCCCUUUUCUGCCUCUGGAUGUUGAUGGUGAAGGUGUGAUCCAGAACUGCAGCAGCCAUCUUGCACCCUUGAGGAUGAGACAAGAUGAGAGGGCAGCCAAGCAAAAACGGCAAGAAUCUGGGUCCUUACUGAUGUCACUGAGCAUUUGAAUGAACAAUCCUGGACUGCCAUGCCCAGGACUUCUUGUUAUACAAGGAAAACAAGUCCCCAUGUUGUUGAAGUGAUUUUGAGUUGGGUUUUCAGGGGUGUCGAUCUGGUUGGAAGUGAAGCAGGAAGGGUUUAUCCCACAGUGAUUAUGUAACGAGAUGAGCACAUUGUUUUUACCUGGACUGUGGGCUUCCUAGGGUGGGAGUGGGGGCUGGUGGAGUUGAUAGUGGGGGGGGCGGCUAGAGCUUUAUCCUUUGGUGCCACUAAAGCCUGUUAAAGGGAGUAGCCUCUAACUCAAGAGGCUACUGGAACUUGAACUCAGAGUAAUGUAAAGAGAAGCAGGAGAAACAGGUACACAUCUGUGUAUUCGGAAGCCGCGUGUCAGCCCCAGCCGUCCCCAAGUUGUCCAGGCACUCUUCAACACUCAACUAAUUGCAGCUCCUCUUUCCACGCACUGAGGGAAAUGCCCCCUCCAAUAGUCCUCUGGAUCCCUGGGGGAAUAGAUUCUCUAUUGUGUCACUGGCUUCCUAAUCAUUGCCUUGGAUUUGUCAAUUUCUCCCUGUCUAAAUCUGUUUUACUGAAGCAUUAUUCACAUACUGUAACAUUCAUCCUUUUAAAGCAUACAAUUCGCUGGCUUUUAGUGUAUUCACAAGGUUGUGGGACCGUCAUCACUAUCUUAUUCUAGAACAUUUUUUGUCACCCUAGAAAGAAAUCCCAUACCCCUUAGCUGUCACUCCCCUGUCCCCCUCUCCUUAGGCCCUGGCAGACACUGAUCUUUCUGUCUCUAUGGAUUUGCCUAUUCUGACAUUUCAUAUAAAUGGAAUCAUACAACAUGUGGCCUUUUGUGACUGGCCUUCCUCUCAUGCCAAGCAUCCCAUCAGAUAAUAUUCUAAACGAGUGCAAGAGCUACUGUAAUCACCUCUUGUUACAAAUGGCACUUUCCCCCCUUGCUAUAUGUACAUAAAACUUUACAGAAGUAAAACCAUACUGUACGUGUGGGUUUUUAAUUUUUUUAUUUCAAUCCAGUGUCAAGGACAUCUUUCUUUGUCAGUACAAAUCUGCAUAACCCUUUUUAUUGUCUGCAGAAUAAAUUACAUGGUUAAAAAAUUAUGUCUGGCUCAAGCUCAGUGCUCAGGCCCAGGAGGAAUGCUAGUCCCCUCCAGAUGGGUCUUUACCACACGUCCAGCUUUCCGCUGAGUGUAAACAAUGAGAUGACAGCUUUGUGUGUACAUUUCUUUAAAGUCCUAGACAUGGGACUGUGGGCUAAAGGGUAUGCAUGUUUACUUUUUUUUAAUAUUCUGCCAAACUGUUCUCUGGAAAGGUCAGAUCAGAUAGGCUGGCCACUGCAGUGAAGCACUGUGGCCUCUGGACUCCAGCUACUUGGAUUUUAAUCCCUACUCUGUGCUCAUUAUUGGUAGGACGUUAACUUGUCUGUGCCUCAGUUUCCUUAUCUGUAUGAUGAAAGUACCAAUCUCAUCAGUUUGUUGUGAGAAUUAAAUUAGUGUAAUACAUACAAAGCAGUGGUUCUCAACUGGGGUGACUUUGCCUGCCCCCCAAGGGGAUGUUUGGCAAUGUCUGGAGAGAUCUUUGGUUGUCACGACUGGGGUGGGGUGCUACUAACAUCUGGUGGGGAGAGGUCAGGGAUGCUGCUGAACAUCCUACAUGCACAGGGCAGUGCUCCCCACCCCAACAAAGAAUGAUCCAGUCCCAAAUGUCAACAGUGCUGAGGUUGAAAAAUCCCAGUGUAAAGGGCCUGGUCCAGAAUAAGUUCUCAUUAAUGUUGGCUGUCGUUAUGCUUCCACUAGCAGAGCAUGAGAAUGUUCGUUUCCCAUACUCUGGCCAAAUGUUUUAAGUCCAAUAAAGGAGCAUUUCCUUAUACCCUUAUGGGCCUGACUUCCUGGGAUUGGCCUCUAUUCUGGCUGUGGGUUUCCAGGGGACUGGCUGGCAGUUGGGUCCAGCUAAGGAAUGUUUGACCUUGUGAGCAAGAGCUUCAGAGUUCCUGGAAUUAGCUGACUCUAUGUGUUUGUCUUUGCAUUUGUAGAGGCUGGGACAUAUGGUGGAUAAAGUAUGGAUUUUGAAUUCAGGUCUGGAUUCAGAUCCCAACUUGACUGCUUCCUAGUUCUAUCCACUGAGAGGACCUAGAAGCAAUGAUACCCUGCAAACAGUGAGCCCAGCUGUGCCCAGCUCCUUGCUUCUAAAUACCACAAUACCAUCCUCCCCUGGGGAAACCAGAGCUGCUAGAAGAAAUGGCUGGUUCCUGGGCAAGGCCAGAGAAAAUAUAGGAUGAGCCUAGAGCAUCCUUUUGUGUCAGAAAAUAAGGAAGUGCUCAACGAAUAAGAGAGACACAUCAAAAGGACAUAGCAGCCACCUUGAAUGAGCUCUCACUGGCCAAAUCUGGAACAAUUCGGUUAUCAAGUAAAUAAUAAUAGUAAUGAAUUUUUAAAUUUAUUUAUUUUUGGCUGCGUUGGGUCUUUCUUGCUGCACGUGGGCUUUCUCUUGUGGAGCAUGGGCUCUAGGCGUGCGGGCUUCAGUAGUUGUGGCACACAGGCUCAGUAGUUGUGGCACAUGGGCUUAGUUGCUCCACGGCAUGUGGGAUCUUCCCGGACCAGGGAUCAAACCCAUGUCCUCGGCAUUAACAGGCGGUUUCUUAACCACUGGGCCCCCAGGGAAGUCCCAAUAAUAGUAAUGAAUUAUAACCCAUUGAAUAAGAUAAGAAUUCAUGUGCCCAUCAUCCACUGUAUGUAUGUGUACUGUAAGCUCUUCUUUCAGUAGAACAUGGACUUAUAAUAAUAGGAAAUUUUAGGUCACAAUUUUGCAGUCAUCAGAGAAAUAAUUAAUGUAGAUAAAGAUCAAGAUGCUAAAAUUAGAGGGUGAAAACUUGAUGAGAAAUAAAAUAUUUAUAUAGCAUCAAAGUACUCCCGUGCGGGCUUCCCUGGUGGCGCAGUGGUUGAGAGUCCGCCUGCCGAUGCAAGCGACGCAGGUUCGUGUCCCGGUCUGGGAAGAUCCCACAUGCCACGGAGCGGCUGGGCCCGUGAGCCAUGGCCGCUGAGCCUGCGCGUCCGGAGCCUGUGCUCCGCUACGGGAGAGGCCGCAACAGUGAGAGGCCUGCGUACCGCAAAAAAAAAAAAAAAAAGUACUCCCGUGCAAAUUACUUAUUAUUUAUAAAGAGAAAAUAGGGAUUGUACAGUAGAUAAAACUGGUGGACACCACCUUAACCAAGUGAUCAAAGUAACCAUCACCAGUAAUAAGGCAAAUUGACAUCAAGUGCUUCUUAAUAUGAUGUAUGGAGAAAGACAUAGUAUCAUUUCUGUGGUAUCUCUGCCCCAAAUGCAUAGCCUGAAUCUAAUCAUGAGGAAAUCUCUGAAAAAUGAAAAUCGAGGAAUAUUUUGCAAAAUAAAUGACCUGUACUCUUCAAAAAUGGCAAUGUCAUGGAAGACAAGGGAAGGCUGGGGAACCGUUCUAGAGUUAAGGGAGACUUAAAUGUGAUGUGUUAUUCUGGAUUGGAACCUGAACUGGAAAAAAAAUGUUCUAAGCUUCACCAAAUUUGUAUAAGACCUGUAGAUUAGAUAUAAUUUUAUGUCAUCUCUAAAUGUCCUGAUUUUGCUAAUUGUACUGUGGUUAUCUGAAUGUUCAUGUUCUUAGGCAAUAUACACUGAGGUAUUUAGGGGAAAAGGGGCAUCAUAUUUGCAACUUACCCUCAAGUGUUCAGAAAAAAGCUGUACAUAGAAUGAUAAAGCAAAUGUCACAAAAUGUGAAUAAUUGGUGAAUCAAGGGGAAGAGUAUUUAGGAGUUAUUUGUGCUACUCUUCUAAUUUUUCUAUAACUUUGUCAUUAUUUCAAAGUAAAAA